rnacentral:tRNA from 1 species
GUUUACAUAGCUUAAAAUAGAGCGUAGUAUUGAAGCUACUGAGGUAAAAUUAUUUUGUAGACA